GAUGAACGCUGGCGGCGUGCCUAAUACAUGCAAGUCGAGCGAACAGACGAGGAGCUUUCUCCUCUGACGUUAGCGGCGGACGGGUGAGUAACACGUGGAUAACCUACCUAUAAUACUGGGAUAACUUCGGGAAACUGGAGCUAAUACCGGAUAAUAUAUUGAACCGCAUUGUUCAAUAGUGAAAGACGGUUUUGCUGUCACUUAUAGAUGGAUCCGCGCCGCAUUAGCUAGUUGGUAAGGUAACGGCUUACCAAGGCAACGAUGCGUAGCCGACCUGAGAGGGUGAUCGGCCACACUGGAACUGAGACACGGUCCAGACUCCUCCGGGAGGCAGCAGUAGGGAAUCUUCCGCAAUGGGCGAAAGCCUGAAGGAGCAACGCCGCGUGAGUGAUGAAGGUCUUCGGAUCGUAAAACUCUGUUAUUAGGGAAGAACAAAUGUGUAAGUAAAUAUGCACGUCUGGACGGCCCCUAAUCAGAAAGCCACGCCUAAAUACGUG
rnacentral:rRNA from 1 species